rnacentral:lncRNA from 1 species
GUCAACACCUCAAAACACUAUUCAUCCAGGCAACUUAAAAUCUGAUAUCUUUCGCCGGAGCUCCCUGAAUAUCCGUUUGAGCUCAAACUUGACAGUCAUGUUCGGUUUUACUUAACUUAACAAGCUGACGAUCGCUGGUUCAGUUUCGACCCCGUUUGGUCACUGAAAACUGUACCGAACUGCAAUCUUUAUCAGAUAGCUGUCAGAUUUUAUUUCUCACUCUACGGGUGUCAGAAAAAUAUGAAACUUUAAAUCUAGCCUCAUAAAAAUAUUUCUGACUUAUCCUCCAAUUUUCAUAAUUUUUUGAGACUGUGCAUUUUCUGCUAAUUUAUCUGUCCCGUUUUCAACAGAAAAUUCUAGAUCUUCUGUUUUCAUUCCGAUUUCAGCACAAGUCACUUCUGACUUAUGUUUUACUUCUACAAAUCCAAUAAAAAUAGUUUCUCACACUAUUUUUAUUUAUUUUUAUUUUUAUACCAAAAUCUGGUAUGUUACACCACUGCAAACCACACA